UCCUACGGGGGGCAACAGUGGGGAAUAUUGCACAAUGGGCGAAAGCCUGAUGCAGCAACGCCGCGUGAAGGAAGAAGGCCUUCGGGUCGUAAACUUCUGUCCUUGGGGAAGAAGAACUGACGGUACCCAAGGAGGAAGCCCCGGCUAACUACGUGCCAGCAGCCGCGGUAAUACGUAGGGAGCGAGCGUUGUCCGGAAUUACUGGGUGUAAAGGGAGCGUAGGCGGGGAUGCAAGUUGGGUGUCAAAACUACCGGCUCAACUGGUAGUCGCACUCAAAAAUGCAGGUCUUGAGUGAAGUAGAGGG
rnacentral:rRNA from 1 species